AUGUUAUUCCUGUGUGUUCUCCUGUGCCUGGUGACAAUUCCCCAAGGCAUCCUGUCCCAGGUGCAACUUCAGGAGUCGGGUCCAGGGCUGGUGAAGCCUUCCCAGAAGCUGUCCCUCACCUGCACUGUCUCUGGUUCCUCCAUUACAAGCAGUGGUUACUGUUGGAGCUGGAUCCGCCAACCCUCAGGGAAGGGGCUGCAGUGGAUGGGAGUGAUAUGCUAUCGUGGUGGUACAAGUUAUAACCCGUCCUUCCAAAGCCGACUCUCUAUCUCCAGAGACACAUCGAAGAAUCAGUUCUCCCUGCAGCUGAGCUCCGUGACUGCCGAGGACUCAGCCGUGUAUUACUGUGCAAGGAGCACAGAAGUAGCUAGAGAUGUCUUCGCCCAGUACUCCAUUGAUUUGGGUCCAUACCUCUUCAGCGGGGAAAUGUUCCAUAGCUAA